rnacentral:misc_RNA from 1 species
GGAAAAUGAAUAUUACUGAUUGGUAUCUCCGUAUGCUUAAUAUGGUACUUAACCCCGCACGGGUAGUAACUAAAAACACUAUGAGACCCCAAUGUUUCUAGCUCACAUCUUAAAAGCACUGCAAAAAGAUACACCUCACUUGCAUUAAUUAACAAAAAAUACCUGCAACCGUCUCUCCUCUCCCCAUCUACAACUGACAAACAUUUAUCAGUAGCAGCUAUAACAGAAUUAAAAUACAAACUCCUCUUCCCCUGCCCCAUUUGGUAGUUCUCUAUCCUUCACAGUUCUCAAUGUCUCCGCUGUUGAAUCACUUAUACCUAACAGAUACUGUAACCUGGACAACUUUUCUGGUGGGGGAUCACUCUUCAAAUAUACGAUGAACAGAUCAGACAGUUCUUCUGGUACCUCCCAAGAUAAUGGGAUUGCAGGAACGGCCUUGUCACAAGCUAACAGAUCAUUGAGAGAAUAAACCAAUGCUUUAUGAUUUCUCUGCCUUAAAAGUGACACGGCCUGAAUAAGUGAGUUUGAUAAUCGGCUACGAGCUAGUUCAUGAACAACUUUUUUGGCCUUCUCAACAUUUAUAUUAAGAUCUUUUGGGACAUUUUCAUAUACCUCUUCUUCGUCAAACUCUCCAGUACCAGAUGAGAAGAUAUCAGCCAGAGUCUUUUUGAAAAGAUUCUCACGUAAACUUUCGGAUAUCAUGGUAUUUAUGUCUACUGAAGACUCUUUCAAUUCUCUAAUCUCCUUAAUGCUAAGCCUUCCCUGACCAACAGCAGUCUCGAGGGCUGCCGCCAGUUUUGUUGUUGUGAUGCUCUUUAUUAUAUUCUGAGCAUAAUGUGGCGGCAAGCCAACAUUCUUCUGCAACUCAUUCAGCUGUACCAUUUUGGCCUUCGU